GACGUAGGGCGCGAGCGUUGUCCGGAUUAUUGGGCGUAAAGGGUGCGUAGGCGGCGCGGUAAGUCGGGUGUGAAAUCUCGGAGCUUAACUCCGAAACUGCAUUCGAUACUGCCGUGCUUGAGGACUGGAGAGGAGACGUGGAAUUUACGGUGUAGCGGUGAAAUGCGUAGAUAUCGUAAGGAAGACCAGUGGCGAAAGGCGGG
rnacentral:rRNA from 1 species